UAUAGAUUUCAGUCCAGUUCUGCCAGACGCCAUCGGCAGUCUCUAGUAUUCCAAAUUAAAAUCUAUAUGAUUUUUAAAUGUUUAAUUAAAAUUAUCUGGAUGACUCGUUUUCAAUGACACUUUAUAAUUCUUUAUAGACUCGAAAUCUAAUAUACGUAAUGAAUUAUAUAUUUUCUGUACUAGCAGUGAAUAUCAGAACGUAGCCAUAAUAGUAUUAUAUAGAGAUGGAUGUACGUAUGUACUUACAUAUGUAUAUUACAUAACAAUCGAACUGAUUCUAACCUGCAAGAGCCAACGAAAUCGAUCGAUUAAUGCUGCUUUUAAAUCUUUGAUGGGGUCUGUCAACUUCAAAGCUAUUGGAACCUUGAUUAGGCGGAACUUGAUCAGUGUGAUAUUCCCUACGGCUACAGUGUUAUCAAUUUACGCAGAUUUGAAACACACAGCUCGCUGGAAACAACAACUCGCUGCACAACAGGAAAGUGAAAUUGCAAAAUAUGGGUCUAUCGCAUAAACACAUCUGGAAGAUGUAUUGGACACUUAUCUUUCCUUUUGCUGGUUUUAUGCUUGGUCAUAAGAUAGACAAGAUGGAAACGAACCGAAUGACAAUGUUUAGAGAUAAAUCAGCAUUGUAUGGUAGAGAGUUAAAGCCUGGAGAAUCUCCUUCCUGGCCGUAUUAAUUCUAUCAUUAUAUAUCACUGAACUUAAAUUACAGAAAUUAGUCCUUAUGUAAGUUAAUAAAUAAAUACAAUGAAUUACAAAAGUUA